rfam:Myotis davidii contig142789, whole genome shotgun sequence.
UGCACUUCAUGGUAUCUGUAUUCAGUAGUUUAUUCUUGCUAGGUGUUCAAAGGACAGGGCAAUAUAAAUUUAGUAUCUGGCAUCGUUGGUUUUCUUGGCUUUGUGCAUGUUAAACCUGGUAUUUUUAUUGAGACGUUA